rnacentral:rRNA from 1 species
GACGAACGCUGGCGGCGUGCUUAACACAUGCAAGUCGAACGAGACGAUUGAAAGCUUGCUUUCGAAAGUCGAGUGGCAAACGGGUGAGUAACGCGUAGACAACCUGCCUUUGAGAUGGGGAUAACAGUUCGAAAGGACUGCUAAUACCGAAUGUUGUAUAUUUUCCACAUGGAAGAUAUAUUAAAGAUGGCCUCUAUUUAUAAGCUAUCGCUCAAAGAUGGGUCUGCGUCUGAUUAGCUGGUUGGUGGGGUAACGGCCUACCAAGGCGAUGAUCAGUAGCCGGUCUGAGAGGAUGAACGGCCACAUUGGGACUGAGACACGGCCCAGACUCCUACGGGAGGCAGCAGUGGGGAAUCUUCCACAAUGGACGAAAGUCUGAUGGAGCAACGCCGCGUGAGUGAAGAAGGGUUUCGGCUCGUAAAGCUCUGUUGUCGGGGACGAAUGUGCAGUAUUUGAAUAAAGUACUGUAAUGACGGUACCUGACGAGGAAGCCACGGCUAACUACGUGCCAGCCGCCGCGGUAA